CAACAAAACAAAAAUGGGAAUAUGGACACAGUGGAAGAGUCAGGAUCUUUGCUCUCCUAACAUGAACUUCAUGUUAUAACUGUUAUCUUGGCGAUAUUAGAGAGAUGCUCAUCAAGGCAAGGUGAUGAUUACCAGAGGGAAAACAAAGAACCUGUAGUUGAGCAUCACCUGUGUGAUCAUGAGAAGGCUGAAGAACCAGG